GUGCAGAAGAACCAGCAACUAAUACUUCUCAGGUCAUACUCACCUGAGAAGCACAGUGCCAGGCACACUCAUCUUUUUCAAGGUGGUCAACCAGAAAGCAGUCAGUUCACUGCCUCUGUACGUGAAGUAUCUCUGAGGAAAAACCCAUUAAGCCUGGUGUUCACUAUGGCAGGCCUGCCUGGAACUCAUCUUUCAUGAGUCAUGUGCAAACUCCUCCAACUGAUGGUUCUGGAUCCUUGCAGACCUUCCCCCUCCGGUGUGACUGAGGGAUGGAAAACUGGAGGAAGAAGAGAGGCUGAAGGAAGAGGUUGCCAGACACUGAUUCAGCUGUGAAGCUGCUAGCCCCACACAGUUGGCUCCAGAGAGGCAAACUACAAAAAUGUGGCUGAAAAAGAUGAUGUGCAUAAAAGAAUCCACAUGCCUCAUAUGUACUUUCAGCUAAAAGACACAGAGGGACCUUCCAAAGUCCAGGUACUUUCCUGUUGAUAGCAAAUGGUGCAGUAUGGCAUAUAAGAUAAGUAAUGAUAAAACGUCCCGGAGAGUUGUAUUAAGACCUUGUUUACUCCUCUUUAGAGGUUAGCCUUCAAGGCAGUAUAGGUUCCAAACAUUUUGUAAACAUCCAGUGACUUAUAAAAUGUGAUAAAAUAAAACUGAGAAAUUACAUGAAGGGCAGGGUUUGGAGGAC
rnacentral:lncRNA from 1 species